rnacentral:lncRNA from 1 species
UUCCAGAACUAUGUAGCCGGCAUAGGUUAAAAGUAUCAACCUACUAGUUGAGGGUUGAUAAAGUGUUUACCUACCAGUUGAGUGUAACACAUAUCUCACCUGUCAGAUGAGGGUGAUUCUUUGGUGGAUUCACACAGCCAUUGUUAGUACCCGUGGCACGGUACUAACACCCUUCCAACUGGGGUCACAGGUUGGACCCCAACUCAGUUUAUAAUCGGGGUAUGUCGGUUAGAUGAACA